GACGGAGGGUGCAAACGUUGCUCGGAAUCACUGGGCAUAAAGCGCACGUAGGCGGUCCCCUCAGUCGGGUGUGAAAGCCCUCGGCUCAACCGAGGAAUUGCAUUCGAUACUGGGGGGCUCGAGGAUGGUUGGGGUGAGUGGAACUCCAGGUGGAGCGGUGAAAUGCGUAGAUAUCUGGAGGAACACCGGUGGCGAAAGCGACUCACUGGACCAUUACUGACGCUGAGGUGCGAAAGCUAGGGGAGCAAACGGG
rnacentral:rRNA from 1 species